rnacentral:rRNA from 1 species
ACGAACGCUGGCGGCGUGCUUAACACAUGCAAGUCGAACGGUGACGAGGGGCUUGCCCCUCCGAUCAGUGGCGAACGGGUGAGUAACACGUGAGUAACCUGCCCCAGACUCUGGGAUAACCCCGGGAAACCGGAGCUAAUACCGGAUACGAGACGGAGAGGCAUCUCUACCGUCUGGAAAGUUCUUCGGUCUGGGAUGGACUCGCGGCCUAUCAGCUUGUUGGUGAGGUAACGGCUCACCAAGGCGACGACGGGUAGCCGGCCUGCGAGGGCGAUCGGCCACACUGGGACUGAGACACGGCCCAGACUCCUACGGGAGGCAGCAGUGGGGAAUAUUGCACAAUGGGCGAAAGCCUGAUGCAGCGACGCCGCGUGAGGGAUGACGGCCUUCGGGUUGUAAACCUCUUUCAGCAGGGAAGAAGCGAAAGUGACGGUACCUGCAGAAGAAGCACCGGCUAACUACGU